rnacentral:rRNA from 1 species
AGAGUUUGGAUCAUGGCUCAGAACGAACGCUGGCGGCGUGCCUAACACAUGCAAGUCGCACGAGAAAGUUCCUUCGGGAAUGAGUAAAGUGGCGAAUGGGUGAGUAACACGUAGGUAACCUACCUCUAGGACUGGGAUAACCUGUCGAAAGGCGGGCUAAUGCCGGAUGAGACCACAGGAGCUUCGGCUCUCGUGGCUAAAGGUGGCCUCUGCAUGCAAGCUAUCGCUUAGAGAUGGGCCUGCGGACCAUUAGCUAGUUGGUAGGGUAAUGGCCUACCAAGGCAAAGAUGGUUAGCUGGUCUGAGAGGAUGGUCAGCCACACUGGGACUGAGACACGGCCCAGACUCCUACGGGAGGCAGCAGUGGGGAAUCUUGGGCAAUGGGCGAAAGCCUGACCCAGCAACGCCGCGUGGGGUGAUGAAAGGCCUUCGGGUCGUAAAGCCCUUGUCGGAAAGGAAAGAAUACUCCCGAGGUUAAAAUAAUUCUCGGGGGGAUGACGGGUUACCUUUCAAAGGGAAGGCCCCGGGCUUAAACUUCCCGUGGCCCAGCCAGCCCGCCGGGUUAAUAACGGAAGGGG